rnacentral:rRNA from 1 species
UGGUAGUCCACGCUGUAAACGAUGUCGAUUUAGAGGUUGUGGUCUUGAACCGUGGCUUCUGGAGCUAACGCGUUAAAUCGACCGCCUGGGGAGUACGGCCGCAAGGUUAAAACUCAAAUGAAUUGACGGGGGCCCGCACAAGCGGUGGAGCAUGUGGUUUAAUUCGAUGCAACGCGAAGAACCUUACCUACUCUUGACAUCCAGCGAAUCCUUUAGAGAUAGAGGAGUGCCUUCGGGAACGCUGAGACAGGUGCUGCAUGGCUGUCGUCAGCUCGUGUUGUGAAAUGUUGGGUUAAGUCCCGCAACGAGCGCAACCCUUAUCCUUUGUUGCCAGCACGUAAUAGUGGGAACUCAAAGGAGACUGCCGGUGAUAAACCGGAGGAAGGUGGGGAUGACGUCAAGUCAUCAUGGCCCUUACGAGUAGGGCUACACACGUGCUACAAUGGCAGAUACAAAGAGAAGCGACCUCGCGAGAGCAAGCGGAACUCAUAAAGUCUGUCGUAGUCCGGAUCGGAGUCUGCAACUCGACUCCAUGAAGUCGGAAUCGCUAGUAAUCGUAGAUCAGAAUGCUACGGUGAAUACGUUCCCGGGCCUUGUACACACCGCCCGUCACACCAUGGGAGUGGGUUGCAAAAGAAGUAGGUAGCUUAACCUUCGGGAGGGCGCUUACCACUUUGUGAUUCAUGACUGGGGUGAAGUCGUA